AGUGUAGGCGGCUACUUAAGUCGGAUGUGGAAGCCCCGGGCUCAACCUGAGAAUUGCAUUCGAAACUGGGUAGCUAGAGUUUGGUAGAGGUAAGUGGAAUUCCGGGUGUAGCGGUGAAAUGCGUAGAUAUCCGGAGGAACAUCAGUGGCGAAGGCGGCUUACUGGACCAAAACUGACGCUGAGGCUCGAAAGCGUGGGGAGCAAACAGGAUUAGAUACCCUGGUAGUCC
rnacentral:rRNA from 1 species